ACGGUAGCACAGAGAGCUUGCUCUCGGGUGACGAGUGGCGGACGGGUGAGUAAUGUCUGGGAACUGCCUGAUGGAGGGGGAUAACUACUGGAAACGGUAGCUAAUACCGCAUAACGUCGCAAGACCAAAGAGGGGGACCUUCGGGCCUCUUGCCAUCAUAUGUGCCCAGAUGGGAUUAUCUAGUAGGUGGGGUAAUGGCUCACCUACGCGACGAUCCCUAGCUGGUCUGAGAGGAUGACCAGCCACACUGGAACUGAGACACGGUCCAGACUCCUACGGGAGGCAGCAGUGGGGAAUAUUGCACAAUGGGCGCAAGCCUGAUGCAGCCAUGCCGCGUGUAUGAAGAAGGCCUUCGGGUUGUAAAGUACUUUCAUCGGGGAGGAAGGUGUUGUGGUUAAUAACCGCAGCAAUUGACGUUACCCGCAGAAGAAGCACCGGCUAACUCCGUGCCAGCAGCCGCGGUAAUACGGAGGGUGCAAGCGUUAAUCGGAAUUACUGGGCGUAAAGCGCACGCAGGCGGUCUGUCAAGUCAGAUGUGAAAUCCCCGGGCUCAACCUGCGAACUGCAUUCGAAACUGGCAGGCUAGAGUCUUGUAGAGGGGGGUAGAUUUCCAGGUGUAGCGGUGAAAUGCGUAGAGAUCUGGAGGAAUACCGGUGGCGAAGCGGCCCCCUGGACAAAGACUGACGCUCAGUGCGAAAGCGUGCGGGAGCAAACAGGAUUAGAUACCCUGGUAGUCCACGCCGUAAACGAUGUCGACUUGGAGGUUGUGCCCUUGAGGCGUGGCUUCCGGGAGCUAACGCAGUUAAGUCGACCGCCUUGG
rnacentral:rRNA from 1 species